AAUCAACGCUGGCGGCGUGCCUCAGACAUGCAAGUCGAACGCGAAAGUUCCCUUCGGGGGGCGAGUAGAGUGGCGCACGGGUGAGUAACACGUAGGUAAUCUACCUUUGGGUGGGAAUAACAGCCGGAAACGGCUGCUAAUACCGCAUAAUGCAGCGGCUCGACAUCGAGACAGUUGUUAAAGCGGGGGAUCGCAAGACCUCGCGCCUAAAGAGGAGCCUGCGGCGGAUUAGCUUGUUGGUGAGGUAAUGGCUCACCAAGGCAUCGAUCCGUAGCCGGCCUGAGAGGGCGGUCGGCCACACUGACACUGACAUACGGGUCAGACUCCUACGGGAGGCAGCAGUCGGGAAUUUUUGGGCAAUGGGCGCAAGCCUGACCCAGCAACGCCGCGUGAAGGAUGAAAUCCCUCGGGAUGUAAACUUCGCAAGAACAGGAAGAAUAA
rnacentral:rRNA from 1 species